GCUGUUAUGGCCGAGUGGUUAAAGCGUUGGACUUGAAAUCCAAAGGGGUCUCCCCGCGCAGGUUCAAUCCCCGCUCACAGCG